rnacentral:rRNA from 1 species
UGCCAGCAGCCGCGGUAAUACAGAGGGUGCAAACGUCGUUCGGAAUUACUGGGCAUAAAGCGCGCGUAGGCGGUUUAGUAAGUGUGAAGUGAAAUCCCACGGCUCACCCGUGGAACUGCUUUGCAUACUGCUAAACUAGAGGACGGUAGGGGAGAGCGGAACUCCUGGUGGAGCGGUGAAAUGCGUAGAUAUCAGGAGGAACACCGGUGGCGAAGGCGGCUCUCUGGUCCGUUUCUGACGCUGAGGUGCGAAAGCCAGGGUAGCGAACGGGAUUAGAUA